rfam:Kouleothrix aurantiaca strain COM-B contig_2064, whole genome shotgun sequence.
GGGGAUGACUGGCUUCGACAGGGGAGGAUGUCGUUGGUUGCAAGCCGAGCCGCCCAGUCUCGUUAAAGGGGCAACGGCAAUAACUGCCAAAAACAACACCUGGGCUCGCAGCAACGCUGUGGCCCUCGCUGCCUAACUAGGUAGCGCGCCGGCCCACACUCACCCCGAUGGUGUGGGGUCCGGCGUCAACAGUCGGGGCGCUCCCGGAUAAGUACCUGCGCGUUCGGGCUAAGCAAAGCAGGAUGGCCCAAAAGUCGCUUUGUCGGUUGUGUGGCUUCGGGCGACAUUAAACAAUUGACUACGCUUGUAGACGCCGGCGUCUAACUUUUCUGGACGGGGGUUCGACUCCCCCCAUCUCCACCA